GGAGGAGGCCGCCAUGAGAACGGAUGGAUCAUGAGCACGUGACCCAGAGAAGUGCACCCUGAGGACAGGCUGACAAAGCAGAAGCAGCCAGAGAGAGACUCAAAAGCAAGUAACAAGGGGCAUAUGGUUUGAAUACAGGCCAGCAGAUUGAAGAGAGGACACUACUCCAAUUUCAACAUCCAAGCAACUGAAACAUACAGCUAUUAAAUGACUAGUUCUAUCCAGAUAGCAAGCAAAACUCAAACCCAUAGCAGACCCACCCUGUGCUGUGUCUACAAGUCUCUGUCUCCAUGAAACCUAACUGACUUUUCUUACCCAGACGUCAGAUACCUUUGGGAAGUAGAAAGCCAUGGAUCUCUAGAAAACCGUUUGGUGGUCUCUCCAAAGCCCCAGACCUCCAGUUCCAGUCGUCAAACACAACAAGCUAACGAGAAUCUCUCCCAGUGCUUCUCUGGGAAAGCCCAGACUUCAGAGUCCCAGAGCAGCAAGUCGGACUUUCCUAUCAAGAGGCGAUCCCUCUCCAUUCCUCAUUAAGCUAGGCUCGUGCUUUCUAGUAACUUUUGCUUACACCGCAAAACUGUCAUAGGUUAUGGAAACACAAAGGCCUUGUGCAGGGACGCCCUGAGCCCCUGGAAGUCAUUAUUCCUUCCUCUAGCGAUUGUUGAAUUAAACGUCGUAAAUAUGGUUCCCAUCCUGUUCCCUUCUCCACCCCAUGAGGCGCACACACACACACACACACACACACACACACACACACACACACACACACACACACGAUCUGCUGGACAUAUGUUGAGAAGAAAGUAGGGACUUGUGAGUGAGAAAAAAAAAUCACAUGUCCUGAGUGACGAGCCUGAGAGCUUUAAGGAAGUUGGGGUGGAGGGGUGGAUCUUCAGUUCCGGAAAUGGAAUAUGUACAGAGUGUAUGGCUUAUGUGUCUCACAAAGCUUUUUUAACAUAUAAAAAUCUGUAGCACAUGGCUUCUUUUUUUCUUUUUGGUAUAGGGCAGUAAACAAGAGCUUUGAAAGGGGAAGGAAACCAGGAGAAAGCCAGUUCCAUUAGUCACGCAGCUGCAUAUCCUGUCACAAAGGACCCCAGUUGAGUAAUCGCCCAAAAUAUGCCUGUUAUUUUUUUUCUGUCAGAAAAAAAAAUGGGGCCUGCCAAAAUGUACUGUAAAGAAAAAAAUGGAAGGGGGGGAAGCUGGUCUUUCAGCCCCCACCCCCCAGGAGGGAGGAAAAUAAAGAAGAAACAGGCAUAGCUUGGAAAUGCUCUUCCAACCCCCUCUGUACUUGUCUUUGCAAGAAGAAGCUCUCAAACUGCUUGUGGCAAUGGGGCCUGCGGGGCUGGAGGAUGACUGGCUCCUUGGCCAACCCGUUUCCAGAGUCCUUACAUGGCGUCACUGGGUACCAGAUGUGAAGGAGGCAAAGGCAGUGGAAGAAGGCAAGGGAGAGGCAAGCUGUAAUCCAAGAAAAGGAGCCUAGAGAGUGACUAUGUCCUUUGAACAUCCUUAUGUGGGAGACUUCAGGGCUCCAUAGCGAAUCUGUGGCAGCUCACACACCCGUUCCACGAGCCCUGUGUGAGUCCUGCAGGGGCCACUGACUUCCUUCCGGCAAGCACAGCUGUCUCACUGUCAGCUUUUCUGAUGAGCUCAGCAAAACCGGCUUCUGCUCAGGCGUGAGCCAUGCUUGCGAUGUUUGGACUACAGACGGAACAAGAGAAGGAGGAUAUCUGAUUUGGGAUUAAGCUGAGGAACUGGGGCUCAAAAUCCAGCAAGGGUGUGCGCAUCUAUAGCUACCUGGGGACCUGAGGCAGGAGGAUUAUUUGGGCAUAUAAAGUCCAAGUUCACAAGUUGGGUGGGAAGGCACUCUGCAAUACGCUCCGGUGAGUAGACGCUUACCGCGGAAGCUGACAACCUGAGUUCAAGCCCCAGGAUCCACGUGGUAGAAGCAAAGAGCCCACUCCCGCACGGCAUCGCACUUGCUGAUACAUUUUAAAAUAAAGAAGAGAGGAGACUUAGAAGGCGCGGAGAUGGGGCUCCGGAGACAGGCCGCUUUGAUCAGAGCUGCCUACGGACUUCCGGACUUCCGGUGCUCUCCUGGAUCGGCUUCCCAAGCACCUGGUGAGGAGACCAAGCCACAGCGAAGGUGCUCUAAAAUGUCAUCCAGUCACCACCUUUGCUCCAUGUUCUUAGUCCGUCGUCCUCAGAACUUGGGGGGAGAGGGUUACUUCAAGUACAAAGGAUUCUCCAAAAAUCACACUUUCCCUCCUGCCAAGACUGUAAAGACUCAGAGCUGUCUCGAAGAAGGGGAGGGCUUGUACAUCCACCAGGGAGUUUUCUCCUAAAGGAAGGAAGGGAGAAUCAAACAAAUAAAAGUAUGUAUGAAAAAUGGAAAACUAAA